rnacentral:rRNA from 2 species
AACUCUGGUAUUGAUUGGUGCUUGCAUCAUGAUUUACAUUUGAGUGAGUGGCGAACUGGUGAGUAACACGUGGGAAACCUGCCCAGAAGCGGGGGAUAACACCUGGAAACAGAUGCUAAUACCGCAUAACAACUUGGACCGCAUGGUCCGAGCUUGAAAGAUGGCUUCGGCUAUCACUUUUGGAUGGUCCCGCGGCGUAUUAGCUAGAUGGUGGGGUAACGGCUCACCAUGGCAAUGAUACGUAGCCGACCUGAGAGGGUAAUCGGCCACAUUGGGACUGAGACACGGCCCAAACUCCUACGGGAGGCAGCAGUAGGGAAUCUUCCACAAUGGACGAAAGUCUGAUGGAGCAACGCCGCGUGAGUGAAGAAGGGUUUCGGCUCGUAAAACUCUGUUGUUAAAGAAGAACAUAUCUGAGAGUAACUGUUCAGGUAUUGACGGUAUUUAACCAGAAAGCCACGGCUAACUACGUGCCAGCAGCCGCGGUAAUACGUAGGUGGCAAGCGUUGUCCGGAUUUAUUGGGCGUAAAGCGAGCGCAGGCGGUUUUUUAAGUCUGAUGUGAAAGCCUUCGGCUCAACCGAAGAAGUGCAUCGGAAACUGGGAAACUUGAGUGCAGAAGAGGACAGUGGAACUCCAUGUGUAGCGGUGAAAUGCGUAGAUAUAUGGAAGAACACCAGUGGCGAAGGCGGCUGUCUGGUCUGUAACUGACGCUGAGGCUCGAAAGUAUGGGUAGCAAACAGGAUUAGAUACCCUGGUAGUCCAUACCGUAAACGAUGAAUGCUAAGUGUUGGAGGGUUUCCGCCCUUCAGUGCUGCAGCUAACGCAUUAAGCAUUCCGCCUGGGGAGUACGGCCGCAAGGCUGAAACUCAAAGGAAUUGACGGGGGCCCGCACAAGCGGUGGAGCAUGUGGUUUAAUUCGAAGCUACGCGAAGAACCUUACCAGGUCUUGACAUACUAUGCAAAUCUAAGAGAUUAGACGUUCCCUUCGGGGACAUGGAUACAGGUGGUGCAUGGUUGUCGUCAGCUCGUGUCGUGAGAUGUUGGGUUAAGUCCCGCAACGAGCGCAACCCUUAUUAUCAGUUGCCAGCAUUAAGUUGGGCACUCUGGUGAGACUGCCGGUGACAAACCGGAGGAAGGUGGGGAUGACGUCAAAUCAUCAUGCCCCUUAUGACCUGGGCUACACACGUGCUACAAUGGAUGGUACAACGAGUUGCGAACUCGCGAGAGUAAGCUAAUCUCUUAAAGCCAUUCUCAGUUCGGAUUGUAGGCUGCAACUCGCCUACAUGAAGUCGGAAUCGCUAGUAAUCGCGGAUCAGCAUGCCGCGGUGAAUACGUUCCCGGGCCUUGUACACACCGCCCGUCACACCAUGAGAGUUUGUAACACCCAAAGUCGGUGGGGUAACCUUUUAGA